AUUGCUUCUUGGCCUUUUGGCUAAGAUCAAGUGUAGUAUCUUAGUGUCAUUACACGAAAAGCAUCAGGAGAGGUACAAACCAGAGAUUGUCUUUAGAUGGGUCAUCAUCCAAUGUUUCUGGCUGUAUACCUUGUCAGAUUUCCUCUACUCAUUUGGUCUAGACUUACAACUUUAUUAGAGAAAUGAAAAGUUC